AUUGAACGCUGGCGGCACGCCUAACACAUGCAAGUCGAGCGGCAGCGCGAUAUGUAGCAAUACAUAUUGGCGGCGAGCGGCGGACGGGUGAGGAACACGUAGGAACCUACCCUCGAGUGGGGGAUAACCAAGGGAAACUUUGGCUAAUACCGCAUGAUUUCGAGAGAGCAAAGCUGCCGCAAGGUGUCGCUCGAGGAGGGGCCUGCGUCCGAUUAGCUAGUUGGUGAGGUAAGAGCUCACCAAGGCGAUGUUCGGUAACUGGUCUGAGAGGACGACCAGUCACACUGGGACUGAGACACGGCCCAGACUCCUACGGGAGGCAGCAGUGGGGAAUAUUGGACAAUGGGGGCAACCCUGAUCCAGCGAUGCCGCGUGAGUGAAGAAGGCCUUCGGGUCGUAAAGCUCUUUAGGUUGGGAAGAAGAGUGAUGGAGGAAAUGCUAUCACUUUGACGGUACCGACAGAAUAAGCACCGGCAAACUCUGUGCCAGCCGCCGCCGUAAUAC
rnacentral:rRNA from 1 species